ACGGGUGAGUAAUGCUUGGGAACUUGCCUUUGCGAGGGGGAUAACAGUUGGAAACGACUGCUAAUACCGCAUAAUGUCUUCGGACCAAACGGGGCUUCGGCUCCGGCGCAAAGAGAGGCCCAAGUGAGAUUAGCUAGUUGGUAAGGUAACGGCUUACCAAGGCGACGAUCUCUAGCUGUUCUGAGAGGAAGAUCAGCCACACUGGGACUGAGACACGGCCCAGACUCCUACGGGAGGCAGCAGUGGGGAAUAUUGCACAAUGGGGGAAACCCUGAUGCAGCCAUGCCGCGUGUGUGAAGAAGGCCUUCGGGUUGUAAAGCACUUUCAGUUGUGAGGAAAAGUUAGUAGUUAAUACCUGCUAGCCGUGACGUUAACAACAGAAGAAGCACCGGCUAACUCCGUGCCAGCAGCCGCGGUAAUACGGAGGGUGCGAGCGUUAAUCGGAAUUACUGGGCGUAAAGCGCACGCAGGCGGUUUGUUAAGCUAGAUGUGAAAGCCCCGGGCUCAACCUGGGAUGGUCAUUUAGAACUGGCAGACUAGAGUCUUGGAGAGGGGAGUGGAAUUCCAGGUGUAGCGGUGAAAUGCGNAGAUAUCUGGAGGAACAUCAGUGGCGAAGGCGACUCCCUGGCCAAAGACUGACGCUCAUGUGCGAAAGUGUGGGUAGCGAACAGGAUUAGAUACCCUGGUAGUCCACACCGU
rnacentral:rRNA from 1 species